AUUGAACGCUGGCGGCAGGCCUAACACAUGCAAGUCGAGCGAGUGGCGGACGGGUGAGUAAUGUAUGGGGAUCUGCCCGAUGGAGGGGGAUAACUACUGGAAACGGUAGCUAAUACCGCAUACUAUCGGAUGUACCCAGAUGGGAUUAGCUAGUAGGUGGGGUAAAGGCUCACCUCGGCGACGAUCCGUAGCUGGUCUGCUAGGAUGAGAAGCCACACUGGAACUGAGAUACGGGCCAGACUCCGACGGGAGGCAGCAGUGGGGAAUAUGGGACAAUGGGCGCAAGCCUGAUGCAGCCAUGCCGCGUGUGUGAAGAAGGCCUUCGGGUUGUAAAGUACUUUCAGUGGGGAGGCGUUACCCGCAGAAGAAGCACCGGCUAACUCCGUGCCAGCAGCCGCGGUAAUUC
rnacentral:rRNA from 1 species